CUGAAAUCUCUUCAGAGCCAUAAAGAUGAAAUGAGUGUCUUGUUAUUCAUAACAAGCCCUUUACCAUCACAGCGGGGUUUAUGUUAAUGAGGAGACUUCUGGAAAGCACCUAAAGGAGGGGGGGGCUGGUUGCCAGGGGAACCAAGGAUAAAUAGAAGGUUGGAACUUUCAGUCCUACCCCUUGAUUUCUGGGGAGGGGAGAUCUGGACAUUGAAUCAGUCACCAAUGGCCAAUGAUUUAAUCAAUCAUGCCUAUAUAAUGAAGCCUCCAUCAAACACAAAAGGACAAGAUUUGGAUUCCUUCCAGGCUUAAAAUCUUUGUGGUCACAAAAUACACACAUGACUUUAUUAUAGUGAGCCUCUUCUGGGAAUAAAACGUCCUUAUGGUUGUGCUAUGUGGGACGCCACCCGACAAGUGACACCAUGUCCGCACCCAGGAUUUGAACCCGGGAAACCCUGGGCCACCAAAGUGGAGCACGCAAACCCAACCACUUGACUAUGGGGCUGGCCCCUAAACUAGUCCUUUUUUAAUGAGCAAUGGGUACAUUUCAAUACGUUGCAACUCAUUGAAUAUUUUCAGCUCAAAGCUUCCAGAAAGUUUGGAGAUAUAUUCUUUAGGGCAAAGCAAGACUAUAUCUAAGGAUAAUAAACUGUUGCCUAUAAGCAGGUGUUUCCUUGUUCAUUCAGUUUUCUGUAUAUUGUACUAGAACCUUGCAUAUGGUAUCCUCCCCCACUCCUCCAUGCCAUAAAAAUAUACAAGGUUAAUACUGAAAUUACAGGAUGUUUUUACUGUUGUUCCCACCAUAGGAAACUUGAUUCCUAAAAUUCAAGGAAAAAGUAUACUGUUAUAGACUUAAGGUCAUUUUUGAGUUAGUGAUUAAUUAAUUAGUGUCAGCAGCGUAGACAGAACUGGAUAGAAUACACAGGACUAAUGCACACCCUAGACCUACUCAAUCAGAAACUCUUGGGACUAAGUUAUAGCAUAUGCUAUUGAAAAGAAGUUCUUCAGAUGAUUUAGAAUGAAUAAGAAACCCCUAGAGCUGGUAGUAUUCCCAUGAGAAGAAAUAGGAUCAGAAGGUGCACUAAAGCACAGAGGUGGGGAUAGCUGAUAAAACAGAGCAAGCACAGAAAACAGGGUGUAAAACAAAGAAUGCUUAAAAAUAAAAGAAUAUAAAAAAUAAAAGAGGAGACAUCACGUGAAAAUGAAAGUAGUAUGGCAUAAAGAGACUGGAUUAUCAGACUUGAAGCAAACCUGGUGAGAAAAACAUCAAGCAGGAUUUAAACCUAAAGUUGAGCAAAGCAUUUAUCUUAGAGUAAAACAUGUUGGAGUUUUAUACUCCACUACUUAUAGUCAGGAUUCCUGUCUGUAUUCAACUUUUUGGCCCACACAGUCUUCCACAUAUUUGAUGCUCAGUACACAUAUUCAAGAUGGACAAAUGCUCUCUAACUAGUAAAGCACGAGUAAAUUCCCACAGUAGUGGCGAAAGCACUGAUUGCAUUGCUGGUGACUGUUCCAGGUAUGCACAGGGCCCAUCUGCUGUACCAGAUGCCUACUGGUUGAUCGGACAACAAACGUGUGGGAGGCAAAAGGCAUCUCUUUCCAAGAAGGCCACCAGGAAACAGGCCAAUGCAACUGUGCCAGGACAACUCCUAACCUCUGUCCAUAGCCUCACAAUCACCUUGAGCUCCCUAAUUUAACCAGAAAGCUUCUGUAAGUGUGGACAGAUGAUUCGACUGCAUUUUACAGUUUGAAAUAAACAGCCCUUGAACAUUUUUGAUAAAAGUUAAUUUGCAUCCUGUCCUUUAAGCAAACAGUGUGUUUGCUAUGCCUUCCUUUAAACAUACUAAGACAUCAAUAGUUUCUGUAAAUACUUCAGUGGGCAACAUUUCUAAAUUAACCCUUUAUUUUCAAGUGCUUGAUGUGAGUGAUGUAUACAUUCUCCUAAAUGUAAGCAUAUUUCCUUUAGCUAUAAUUAUAAAAAGCUAUGGAUUGGGGAAUAAAAAUCUAAUGAUUUAACUUUCUAUUUCAGAUUGUCAAUCUCUCACCUGUAAGUAACAGGGUUGUGGACAAAAAUGCAGACAAUUAUAUUAAAUUUAGCUUUAUUUUCUCCAGAUUAUUAUAAACCAGUAUCAUUAUUGCAAAAUAUUUUGCUUUAAUAAACGAAUGUCUGUUCUCUAAUCCCAGAAAGUCUUAUUUAUAUGCCAAUUUUCCUCCUUUUAACUUACUUUGACUUUCUUCGCCCUUUCCCUUCUCUAUUUCAUGUCCUUUCCUGGCCCUUCCUCUUCCUUCUCCUCCUCCUCUAUGGCCUCCUCUUCCUCCUUCUUCUCUCUCUCUGUCUCAGGCAUCCACACAUACACACACACAUACACAAUCACACAUUCGCAAGCACACAAAGUCAUUAUACCUUGAGUAAAUACAGUAUAUGAGGGUACUAGGUUUAUAAGGUAAUAAAAUGAGUAAAAGGAAAUCUUGAACAUCCUAACAACCCAGUCCAUAGGGACUAGCAGUAUGAGUGAUACUAAGGACAUAGUAUCUGCCAUGUAUCAUAUUAGCUCGCUCGGUUUAUCCUACGUCUACUACACAGCUCCUGGUGUUUUUGUGGGUUGGAAGAGGGGAUGGGUAGGCAUUUUGUUUUAUAGAUAAAAACAAGAACACUGAAACUCAAAGAGGUUCAAAAGUAGACCCAAGCUCACACAGCUAUAAGUGGCCCAGGUUGACAUGGAAUCCAAAAUCUGUCAGAUUUGAAAGCCCGCACUCAUUCGCCUGACUUGACUGCUUUUGUCUCUCUGAAACAGUGGGUUUUCUUACAAGGCGAGUGGAGAAGCAGCUGGCUUUGCCUAAACCUGGCAUUGUUUAAGUGUACUUCUCACUGUGGACCCUGCCCAACCCUACCUAAUACGCAACAGGAUAUUAAAAUAGACUUACAAAAGCUGACGAGACGCAUUUUAUAAGAAAAUAAAAUAUUAGAAAAGCUUUUCUAUGUGUUAUUACAAACCAAGUUUAAACAAGAGCCCACUUCAGAUUAAAACCUUGAUUUCUCAUAAAAGGAAAUGUCAAGUCCUUGAAACUAAUAGUAAUAUAUUUAAUGUUUAGUCAAAUAUAAAUACUUCUAGUUCAUAGGGUAUUAUAUUGUAAUUUUAUUAGCAUAACAACUUUGAUCAGCUAGGUAUUAAAUGACUUUGCUGUUAAAAAUAUGUGAAUGAAGGGUAAAUACCUUAAUGAUGAAGCUUUAUUUCUUUUUUUUUUUUUGAGGAAGAUUAGCCCUCAGCUAACUACUGCCAGUCCUCCUCUUUCUGCUGAGGAAGCCUGGCCCUGAGCUAACAUCCGUGCCCAUCUUCCUCUAGUUUAUAUGUGGGAUGCCUACCACAGCAUGGCCAAGCAGCGCCAUGUUCACAGCCGGGAUCCGAACCAGCGUACCCCAGGCUGCCGAGAAGCGGAACGUGCGACCUUAACAGCUACGCCACCGGGGCAGCCCUGAAGCUUUAUUUCUGAAUGCGACAGAGGGAAGAAGAAAAAUUUCUGGAGUGGACAGAUGUAGGUUUGGACCUCAGAUCUGACACUAAUCAACUCCUUGAUCUCUGAGAAUAAACAAAACUUGUCUGAGGAAGUCGACUUAUCUUUAAAUACAGGGAGAAUUGUCGCAGUCUUAAUGGGUUUUGACGUAAACUAAGAUGAUAUUUGAACGUAUUUACCACUCUGCCAGCCACAGGGAAGGCUGUUUUAAAUGGAAGUUCAUUGCAGGAAGACAAAAGUUCAUGGUGGUUAUGGCUUCUCAUUAGCUGAGCUGCAGCAUUUCUCAUUGGCUGGGCUAUUGCUAGUGCCCGCCCAGUACUUGGCAUGGAAGCAUUCAGUAUGUCUGUUAAACUACUAUAUUGUGAAUGAAACCUUGGAGGUUUCCAGUGAUAAAUUUACCACGUCGUUGAGAAGAUUUUGUGGAUGAGACCUCAUCCAUAUUUACUGCUUCACUCUACUGUUCGUGUUUUGCAUGUGUAACCCUGGUCAUGAUACAGUCUCUUCCUAUUCCUUACCUCAUUGAAAUGAGUAUUGAGUAAAUAUUUAAAGAUUAUC
rnacentral:lncRNA from 1 species